rnacentral:rRNA from 1 species
AUUGAACGCUGGCGGCAUGCUUUACACAUGCAAGUCGAACGGUAACAGGCCGCAAGGUGCUGACGAGUGGCGAACGGGUGAGUAAUGCAUCGGAACGUGCCCAGUCGUGGGGGAUAACGCAGCGAAAGCUGCGCUAAUACCGCAUACGAUCUCUGGAUGAAAGCGGGGGACCGAAAGGCCUCGCGCGAUUGGAGCGGCCGAUGUCAGAUUAGGUAGUUGGUGGGGUAAAGGCCCACCAAGCCAACGAUCUGUAGCUGGUCUGAGAGGACGACCAGCCACACUGGGACUGAGACACGGCCCAGACUCCUACGGGAGGCAGCAGUGGGGAAUUUUGGACAAUGGGCGCAAGCCUGAUCCAGCAAUGCCGCGUGCAGGAAGAAGGCCUUCGGGUUGUAAACUGCUUUUGUCAGGGAAGAAAUCCUCUGGGUUAAUACCCCGGGGGGAUGACGGUACCUGAAGAAUAAGCACCGGCUAACUACGUGCCAGCAGCCGCGGUAAAAC